rnacentral:rRNA from 1 species
UACGGAGGGUGCAAGCGUUAAUCGGAAUUACUGGGCAUAAAGCGCACGUAGGCGGAUCGGUCAGUCAGUUGUGAAAGCCCGGGGCUCAACUCCGGAACUGCAUCUGAUACUGCCGGUCUUGAGGACGAGAGGGGAGAGUGGAACUUCUGGUGGAGCGGUGAAAUGCGUAGAGAUCUGAAGGAAUACCGAUGGCGAAGGCAGCCACCUGGGUCAACACUGACGCUCAUGUACGAAAGCGUGGGGAGCAAACGGG